GAGCAGGGUUGUAUCAGAGUCACCUCUUUCAUCUGCAAAGGGUGCUUUGUGCGGUCGUGGACAGGAAAGGGAAAUCCUCGUGUCGCGGAGCAGUGAGGGAAGGUGGCGUGGGUGAUGCUGGCCGCUCCUUUCAAGCUUGGACCUAAUU